GUGAUUCUUGUCUACUGUAGAUCUCAUUCAGAAGCUCAUUAACAAUGGCAAACCACUUCUCGCUAUCAAAUUUAUUUUUUAUUUUGGGCUGACGGAAAGAUUCCCACCAGUCCCUUUAUUGCAAUCCUACCUGAAGGAAUCCAAGAGGCUUGCUCAAAAACUGUCCAAGAAUGGAAAUAACUCUCUCAAGUCGCAGCCAAAGAAAUCGGUUCAUUAAAAUCAGUCCUUAAAAUCAUUGACGAUCACAAGCUUGAACGUGAAUUCCCAUGGGCUAACAUUGAGAAGCGUAUUGAGGUGUUGUAGAAAAUAAAAGCAAAGAGAAAACUCCCUCCUGGCGCUCCGGCCACGAAGCCUUAAUUUACAGCAAGUGAAGCCACAAUCGAAGUGGAAGCACCAGCAGCAGCCGACUGGAAACAAGCGUCUUCGAAUGGUUGAUGUAGCUGGUCAUGCAGCUGUACCAAUGGGUGCUGCUGCCGCCAAUUCAAGUGUCACCACUUUUCAGCAACCUCAUUUACAGCCAGCAGGUUUGUUGCCAGACCAUCAUGCCUCCUAUCCAAGUGCAGCCACUGGUCCAUACAUGAGGUUCUGCUCAAGCCGCCCCUUAUACUGGUUCAUCACCUGGAACCAAUGGCCACCCGAUAGCGCCUGUGGGAUACGCUGACAACCCAAACCCAAGUGCAUCCUACUUAUAUCCUCCGGAGUCGCAGGCACCACCUGCUUAUUAUGACAGGCAAACACCUUACGGUGGAUACGGUGUUCCACCUCAAUACCAUUAGUCAUAUUAUCCUCAGUAGUUCUUGGUACUCUUGUUCUUAUGACAGCGUAGUUUUCAGAAUGAAUCAUAGAAUAGAUUUUGCCUUACUUUUCCUAGCUGA